UACGUAGGUCCCGAGCGUUGUCCGGAUUUAUUGGGCGUAAAGCGAGCGCAGGUGGUUUAUUAAGUCUGGUGUAAAAGGCAGUGGCUCAACCAUUGUAUGCAUUGGAAACUGAUAGACUUGAGUGCAGGAGAGGAGAGUGGAAUUCCAUGUGUAGCGGUGAAAUGCGUAGAUAUAUGGAGGAACACCGGUGGCGAAAGCGGCUCUCUGGCCUGUAACUGACACUGAGGCUCGGAAGCGUGGGGAGCAAACAGG
rnacentral:rRNA from 1 species